AUUGAACGCUGGCGGCAGGCUUAACACAUGCAAGUCGAGCGGAUUACAGAGCUUGCUCUGUAGUUAGCGGCGAACGGGUGAGUAAUACCUAGGAAUCUGCCUAUUAGUGGGGGAUAACGUGUGGAAACGCACGCUAAUACCGCAUACGUCCUACGGGAGAAAGCAGGGGAUCUUCGGACCUUGCGCUAAUAGAUGAGCCUAGGCCAGAUUAGCUAGUUGGUAGGGUAAAGGCCUACCAAGGCGACGAUCUGUAGCUGGUCUGAGAGGAUGGCCAGCCACACUGGAACUGAGACACGGUCCAGACUCCUACGGGAGGCAGCAGUGGGGAAUAUUGGACAAUGGGGGAAACCCUGAUCCAGCCAUGCCGCGUGUGUGAAGAAGGCC
rnacentral:rRNA from 1 species